ACGGGGCUAAACCAUGCACCGAAGCUGCGGCAGCGAACGUAUCACUUAAAGCGAUUCAGCGGGUUACGAUUGACGGAGCGAAGCGACGUCAAAGCGUAUACAAAGUCGAGUCGGUUUAAGGAUACGUUCGUUGGGUAGGGGAGCGUUCUGUAAGCCUGUGAAGGUGUGUCGUGAGGCAUGCUGGAGGUAUCAGAAGUGCGAAUGCUGACAUAAGUAACGAUAAAGCGGGUGAAAAGCCCGCUCGCCGGAAGACCAAGGGUUCCUGUCCAACGUUAAUCGGGGCAGGGUGAGUCGACCCCUAAGGCGAGGCCGAAAGGCGUAGUCGAUGGGAAACGGGUUAAUAUUCCCGUACUUGGUGUUACUGCGAAGGGGGGACGGAGAAGGCUAUGUUGGCCGGGCGACGGUUGUCCCGGUUUAAGCGUGUAGGUGUGUGUUCCAGGUAAAUCCGGUUCACUUUAACACUGAGGCGUGACGACGAGGCACUACGGUGCUGAAGCAACAAAUGCCCUGCUUCCAGGAAAAGCCUCUAAGCAUCAGGUAACAUCAAAUCGUACCCCAAACCGACACAGGUGGUCAGGUAGAGAAUACCAAGGCGCUUGAGAGAACUCGGGUGAAGGAACUAGGCAAAAUGGUGCCGUAACUUCGGGAGAAGGCACGCUGACACGUAGGUGAAGUGAUUUACUCAUGGAGCUGAAGUCAGUCGAAGAUACCAGCUGGCUGCAACUGUUUAUUAAAAACACAGCACUGUGCAAACACGAAAGUGGACGUAUACGGUGUGACGCCUGCCCGGUGCCGGAAGGUUAAUUGAUGGGGUCAGCGCAAGCGAAGCUCCUGAUCGAAGCCCCGGUAAACGGCGGCCGUAACUAUAACGGUCCUAAGGUAGCGAAAUUCCUUGUCGGGUAAGUUCCGACCUGCACGAAUGGCGUAAUGAUGGCCAGGCUGUCUCCACCCGAGACUCAGUGAAAUUGAACUCGCUGUGAAGAUGCAGUGUACCCGCGGCAAGACGGAAAGACCCCGUGAACCUUUACUAUAGCUUGACACUGAACAUUGAGCCUUGAUGUGUAG
rnacentral:rRNA from 1 species